CCUAAUUUCUUUAACUGGUGCGGGCAAUUUUUGCUCGCUUCAUCAAUGUAAGGUAUUCCGGUGAAUAUUCAGGCUCUUCUCUCAGAAAAAGUCCGUCAGGCCAUGAUUGCGGCAGGCGCGCCUGCGGAUUGCGAACCGCAGGUUCGUCAGUCAGCAAAAGUUCAGUUCGGCGACUAUCAGGCUAACGGCAUGAUGGCAGUUGCUAAAAAACUGGGUAUGGCACCGCGACAAUUAGCAGAGCAGGUGCUGACUCAUCUGGAUCUUAACGGUAUCGCCAGCAAAGUUGAGAUCGCCGGUCCAGGCUUUAUCAACAUUUUCCUUGAUCCGGCAUUCCUGGCUGAACAUGUUCAGCAGGCGCUGGCGUCCGAUCGUCUCGGUGUUGCUACGCCAGAAAAACAGACCAUUGUGGUUGACUACUCUGCGCCAAACGUGGCGAAAGAGAUGCAUGUCGGUCACCUGCGCUCUACCAUUAUUGGUGACGCAGCAGUGCGUACUCUGGAGUUCCUCGGUCACAAAGUGAUUCGCGCAAACCACGUCGGCGACUGGGGCACUCAGUUCGGUAUGCUGAUUGCAUGGCUGGAAAAGCAGCAGCAGGAAAACGCCGGUGAAAUGGAGCUGGCUGACCUUGAAGGUUUCUACCGCGAUGCGAAAAAGCAUUACGAUGAAGAUGAAGAGUUCGCCGAGCGCGCACGUAACUACGUGGUAAAACUGCAAAGCGGUGACGAAUAUUUCCGCGAGAUGUGGCGCAAACUGGUCGACAUCACCAUGACGCAGAACCAGAUCACCUACGAUCGUCUCAACGUGACGCUGACCCGUGAUGACGUGAUGGGCGAAAGCCUCUACAACCCGAUGCUGCCAGGAAUUGUGGCGGAUCUCAAAGCCAAAGGUCUGGCAGUAGAAAGCGAAGGGGCGACCGUCGUAUUCCUUGAUGAGUUUAAAAACAAGGAAGGCGAACCGAUGGGCGUGAUCAUUCAGAAGAAAGAUGGCGGCUAUCUCUACACCACCACUGAUAUCGCCUGUGCGAAAUAUCGUUAUGAAACACUGCAUGCCGAUCGCGUGCUGUAUUACAUCGACUCCCGUCAGCAUCAACACCUGAUGCAGGCAUGGGCGAUCGUCCGUAAAGCAGGCUAUGUACCGGAAUCCGUACCGCUGGAACACCACAUGUUCGGCAUGAUGCUGGGUAAAGACGGCAAACCGUUCAAAACCCGCGCGGGUGGUACAGUGAAACUGGCCGAUCUGCUGGAUGAAGCCCUGGAACGUGCACGCCGUCUGGUGGCAGAAAAGAACCCGGAUAUGCCAGCCGACGAGCUGGAAAAACUGGCUAACGCGGUUGGUAUUGGUGCGGUGAAAUAUGCGGAUCUCUCCAAAAACCGCACCACGGACUACAUCUUCGACUGGGACAACAUGCUGGCGUUUGAGGGUAAUACCGCGCCAUACAUGCAGUAUGCAUACACGCGUGUAUUGUCCGUGUUCCGUAAAGCAGAAAUUGACGAAGAGCAACUGGCUGCAGCUCCGGUUAUCAUCCGUGAAGAUCGUGAAGCGCAACUGGCAGCUCGCCUGCUGCAGUUUGAAGAAACCCUCACCGUGGUUGCCCGUGAAGGCACGCCGCAUGUAAUGUGUGCUUACCUGUACGAUCUGGCCGGUCUGUUCUCUGGCUUCUACGAGCACUGCCCGAUCCUCAGCGCAGAAAACGAAGAAGUGCGUAACAGCCGUCUAAAACUGGCACAACUGACGGCGAAGACGCUGAAGCUGGGUCUGGAUACGCUGGGUAUUGAGACUGUAGAGCGUAUGUAAUCGAUUUUUCGUGAGAGUGAAGCCUGAUCAGGGUUAGCCGAUCAGGC
rnacentral:precursor_RNA from 1 species